GAUGAACGCUAGCGGCAGGCCUAAUACAUGCAAGUCGAGGGCAGCGCGGUAGCAAUACUGCGGCGACCGGCGCACGGUGCGUAACACGUAUGCAACCUACCUUCAACUGGAGGAUAGCCGGGAACUCGGAUUAAUACUCCAUAACACAGGGAUCCCGCAUGGGAAUAUUGUUAAAGCUACGGCGGUUGAAGAUGGGCAUGCGUUCGAUUAGCUAGUUGGUGUAGGUAACGGCUCACCAAGGCUACGAUCGAUAGGGGUCUGAGAGGAUGAUCCCCACACUGGUACUGAGAUACGGACCAGACUCCUACGGGAGCAGCAGUAGGGAAUAUUGGUCAAUGGGCGCAAGCCU
rnacentral:rRNA from 1 species